rnacentral:rRNA from 1 species
AGAGUUUGAUCCUGGCUCAGAACGAACGCUGGCGGCAUGCCUAACACAUGCAAGUCGAACGCUCUUGGGAUUUCGGUCUCAAGGGAGUGGCGCACGGGUGAGUAGCGCGUGGGAACCUGCCCUGUUGUGGGGGAUAACCGAGGGAAACUUCGGCUAAUACCGCAUGCGCCCCGGCGAAAGCCGGGGGAAAGAUUUAUCGCAGCAGGAGGGGCCCGCGUCGGAUUAGCUAGUUGGUGGGGUAACGGCCUACCAAGGCAUCGAUCCGUAGCUGGUCUGAGAGGAUGAUCAGCCACACUGGGACUGAGACACGGCCCAGACUCCUACGGGAGGCAGCAGUGGGGAAUAUUGGACAAUGGGCGCAAGCCUGAUCCAGCAAUGCCGCGUGAGUGAUGAAGGCCUUAGGGUUGUAAAGCUCUUUCGCCCGCGACGAUGAUGACGGUAGCGGGAGAAGAAGCCCCGGCUAACUUCGUGCCAGCAGCCGCGGUAAUACGAAGGGGGCGAGCGUUGUUCGGAUUUACUGGGCGUAAAGGGCGCGUAGGCGGCGCUUCAAGUCGAGUGUGAAAGCCCCGGGCUCAACCUGGGAGGUGCGCUCGAGACUGUAGUGCUGGAGUUCGGGAGAGGAGCGUGGAAUUCCCAGUGUAGAGGUGAAAUUCGUAGAUAUUGGGAAGAACACCGGUGGCGAAGGCGGCGCUCUGGACCGAGACUGACGCUGAGGCGCGAAGGCGUGGGGAGCAAACAGGAUUAGAUACCCUAGUAGUCC